AACGGAGGCCUAGACCCGUUUCGAGUUUGAGAGGAGCCUCGAUCGAAUAAAAUGGAGGUUGCGACGGCGACGGAGGCGUCGGCGCCGGCGGCGAGCGGCAGCGCGGCGCGGCAGAACCACUCAUUCCCGUGGCUAGACGCGGCCAUCUCCGAACCCUACUACUUCCUCCACCUCCUCGCCUUCUUCUCCUACUUUGCGGCCCGCAGCGCGGCGAUCGCCGCCGACGAUGGAGGGGAGCUCUACCACCGCCUCCUCCGCCGGGAGAUCCAGGCAGUGCUCGUGUUCCUCGUGCUCUUCGUAGUGAAGAUUGUGAGAGAGGAAACCUGGGAAACAUUCAUUGCUGAUUCACUGCUCUACGCAAAGGGCUUAUUGCUGGCAGUUACUUUGGUUAUCGACUAUUGGUUGGCCCUUGGCUACUUUCUGGGAUUUGUUGUUAUAUAUGCUGUAGCUCAACAACCACCUUAUCAUGGCCUAGGCCAUUCAAAUCACUUGACCCCAUUGCAACUUGAAAGUCUGUUAACUGAAGAGCCAACAUCACGAUUUUGGCUGGUUGAAUUCCGAACUUUGUUUUCAGCAACGUGUAUACAAGCAAGCAGUGUUCUGCCUGAACUCUCUAAUAUAUACUCCAACAAGAACAUCUCUUUUGGAAUAAUUGACCUUGGGCAUUUUCCUAAUGCUGCAGCAAAGUUUGGCAUAUCCAUGUGGGAUCAUCUUCCCACUUACAUAUUGUUUGACAAGGCGACUGAAGUUGCUCGGUUCCCGGAAGUAACAAGUGAAUCAAAAGUAUUUGUGCCAAAAGUUACUAAGAAACUUCUUUGCCAGCAUUUUGAUCUUGAUAGACGAUUGAUUGAAUACCUAUCUACCUGAUCCAUCAUCUAUCCCAGAUGUCUCAAAAGGAUGGGGACAUUUCCCUUUUUGUCGUGGAACCGGACGUCUGUGUGGCAACAAUCACUUCAGGAGAUUUUCUGUAAUGAUUUGCCGACUAUGUUUUGUCACUGCAGCAUCAGUCAAUUCAGACACCAUUCAUUUCCACUGAGCAGGGGUGCCCCGGAAUUUGUUCGUCUCCCCACCUUUUCCGAGUGUUAGUGGCCUGCACGGUAGGUCUCCCUGGCUCCCCUCCAUUCCAUUUCAUUAUCUUCCAUGCCUAUGCUUUUCCUUGCUGAUUUAUACCUUAAAUAUGCCUAGUGCUCUCUGAUAACCCUAAUUAAAAACCCAAAGCAUUCGAUUUGGCCGCCACCAUUAUCAAGUGGAGGAAAAGUCUGAUUUUGGUGCUAUUA